AGCCUGAACGCUGGCGGCGUGGCUAAGACAUGCAAGUCGUACGGGGUCCGCAAGGAUCCAGUGGCGAACGGGUGAGUAAAGUAUCGCUAACGUACCCCUAUGUCCGGGAUAGCUGGGGGAAACUCCAGGUAAUACCGGGUGACAUCACUUUCUCGCAUGAGAAGGUGCUCAAAGGGAAACCGCAAAGGGAGCGGGCGAUAUCGUAUCAGCUAGUUGGUGAGGUAACGGCUCACCAAGGCUAUGACGCGUAGCCGGACUGAGAGGUCGGACGGCCACAUUGGGACUGAGACACUGCCCAGACUCCUACGGGGGGCUGCAGUAACGAAUCUUCCGCAAUGCACGCAAGUGUGACGGAGCGACGCCGCGUGUGGGACGAAGGUCCUUCGGGAUGUAAACCACUGUCAGGGGUUACCAAGUUCUGAGGAACCCCAGAGGAAGGCACGGCUAACUCUGUGCCAGCAGCCGC
rnacentral:rRNA from 1 species